GCUAAAGAAUUUCUGAAAACAGGAGAUAAUGUCAUUGUCUGCUCAAGAUCAGCUGAAAGAGUGGAAUCUGCAUUGCAGAGCUUAAUACAUGACUUUGGACAGCAGCGUGUGUGGGGCACAACAUGUGAUGUUAGACAGGGGGAAGAUGUGAAGAAGUUAGUUCAUUUUUCUCAACAAAAUCUAAAACAUAUCGAUAUAUGGGGUCGCCACAAACUGGUGUGGGUGACAACGUGUGGCGGACGGUAAUCGCCGACAAGAGUAGUGGCAGGACGACAUCGGGUCAAACUAAGUAAACCAAGCCGAGUCAACUCAACUCUGCCUCGUCAACUCACCUGAUUUUUAUUGGCAGGAAGCACGUGCAUGGCUCCUCCUUUGUCACUUCAUUUUCGAAAUAAAAAAUGGGAUGUAUCCUUAUAAACCUUCCAAUGGGCUUUUUCCAUAAACACCUUCCGCUAGCAAUUCCUCAAAAGGCCAAAACUGAAUUUCUUUUGGGGAGUCCAUGUGAUCGCUUUGACCUUAAUAUGGCAUCAAAAUUUAUCCA